CGUUGCCUUACACAUGCAAGUCGAACGGUGUCUUCGGACAUAGUGGCGGACGGGUGAGUAACGCGUGAGAAUCUGGCUUUAGGUCUGGGACAACCACUGGAAACGGUGGCUAAUACCGGAUGUGCCCUUUGGGGUGAAAGAUUAAUUGCCUGAAGAUGAGCUCGCGUCUGAUUAGCUAGUUGGAAGUGUAAUGGACUCCCAAGGCGACGAUCAGUAGCUGGUCUGAGAGGACGAUCAGCCACACUGGGACUGAGACACGGCCCAGACUCCUACGGGAGGCAGCAGUGGGGAAUUUUCCGCAAUGGGCGAAAGCCUGACGGAGCAAUACCGCGUGAGGGAGGAAGGCUCUUGGGUCGUAAACCUCUUUUCUCAGGGAAGAACACAAUGACGGUACCUGAGGAAUAAGCAUCGGCUAACUCCGUGCCAGCAGCCGCGGUAAUACGGAGGAUGCAAGCGUUAUCCGGAAUGAUUGGGCGUAAAGCGUCCGCAGGUGGCAAUGUAAGUCUGCUGUUAAAGAGUCUAGCUCAACUAGAUAAGAGCAGUGGAAACUACAUAGCUAGAGUACGUUCGGGGCAGAGGGAAUUCCUGGUGUAGCGGUGAAAUGCGUAAAAAA
rnacentral:rRNA from 1 species